rnacentral:misc_RNA from 1 species
CGCACAUUGCGCCCCUCGGCAUUCCGGGGGGCAUGCCUGUUCGAGCGUCAACACAUCUCUCAAGCGUAGCUUGGUAGUGGGCCCUUCGCCUUCCGUCAACCCGGGGGGGGGCGUGCCUGAAAAGUAGUUGCGGUCCGGCGUCACUAUUGGACGUAGUAAAAUCUUGCGCCCCGUCUUGACAGUUGCGCGCCGAGACCUGCCGGAAAUCAUUAAUUCUCAACGAUUGACCUCGAAUCAGGUAGGGAUACCCGCUGAACUUAA